CUCUCGCUGACACAGGUGUGUACUUUCAAUUCAUCUUCCUGCCAGUUCACAACCCACUGGCCUCAAACUCUGCUUUGGCCAGUGCCUGCCCAUUCUCAGCCAGAUAACAAUUUCAGAUGUUUUUUCAAGCAUGUAGAAGUCAGCGUGGACACAGGAGGGCACAGUCUUGGGUGCUGUGUAGAAGGUUAACUGACUUGGAAAUCUGUUUCUGAAUUGUAGGAAUCAAAACGUCUCUGAGUAUUCAUCUGUGAGGACAGGAUCAUUACCCACGUUAGAAACAUGGCCAAAUUUGUUGUUGACUCACCUGUGGAUAUACAUCCGGCACUCUGUGUCUGCAGACACAGAGCCCACAGGUAGAAGAUGAUGCUUAACUUAGCAGCAGGAAAUUGCUUAACUGGAGUACCUUCUGAUGGCAAACUUAUUUCACAGACCUUUGUAGAGAAGG